AUGGAAGAUUUGACGGACAUGGACAUCAGCCUCCUGAGGCCCCAGAACUAUCUUUUUGGUUGUGACUAGAGGCCAACAAAGAUUAUCACUUUAAGGUGGAUAAUGAUGAAAAUGAGCACAAGUUAUCUUUAAGAAUGGUCAGUUUAGGGGCUGGUAGAAAGGAUGGAUUUUAUAUUGUUGAAGCAGAAGUAAUGAACUAUGAAGGCAGUCCAAUUAAAGUAAUACUAGCAACUUUAAAAAGGUAUGUACAGUCAAUGGUUUAUCUUGGGGGCUUUGAAAUAACAUUGCCUGUGGCCUUACACUCAGUGUGUUUCAGGGCCUGGGCAUAUGAGUACACAGCACUUAACAGGUAUGAAGGAAGAUACAAAGCAGGACAUGAAGAGGAGGGAGAUGUGAGACUUUUCAGUAUAUCUGGAAAGUGAUCUGCCCCUGGAAGUGGGUACAUUUCUACAAGAAAAAAAUAAAACUUCUUGCUGAUGAAAAUCAUGAUGAUGAUGAAGAGGAAGAACAUUUUGAUGAAGGGAAAACUGAAGAAAAAGCUCUAGUGAUGAAAUUUAUACAGGAUACUCCAUCCAAAAAAUGCACAAAGAUCAAACCAAAAUAAAAAAGACUCAGAACUAUCAAGAUUAAGACCAAAAGGUCAAGAAUCCUUCAAAAACAGGGGGAAAAAACCUCUUAAAACACCAAAAGGACCUAGUUUUGUAGAAUAUAUUAAAAGCAAAAAUGCAAGCAAGUAUAGAAAAAGUUGGUUCUCUUCCCAAAGCUAAGUGCAUCAAUUAUGUGAAGAAUUACUUCUGGAUGACCAACUAGGAGGCUAUUCACCAUCUCUGGCAGUGGAAGAAGUCU
rnacentral:lncRNA from 1 species